rnacentral:rRNA from 1 species
ACUCCUACGGGAGGCAGCAGUGGGGAAUAUUGCACGAAAUGGGCGCAAGCCUGAUGCAGCCAUGCCGCGUGUAUGAAGAAGGCCUUCGGGUUGUAAAGUACUUUCAGCAGUGAGGAAGGUGGAUAUGUUAAUAGCAUAUUCAUUUGACGUUAGCUGCAGAAGAAGCACCGGCUAACUCCGUGCCAGCAGCCGCGGUAAUACGGAGGGUGCGAGCGUUAAUCGGAAUUACUGGGCGUAAAGCGCAUGCAGGUGGUUUGUUAAGUCAGAUGUGAAAGCCCGGGGCUCAACCUCGGAAUUGCAUUUGAAACUGGCAAACUAGAGUACUGUAGAGGGGGGUAGAAUUUCAGGUGUAGCGGUGAAAUGCGUAGAGAUCUGAAGGAUACCGGUGGCGAAGGCGGCCCCCUGGACAGAUACUGACACUCAGAUGCGAAAGCUGGGGGAGCGAAACAGGAUUAGAUACCCUGGGUAGGCUCUGC